rnacentral:rRNA from 1 species
CAGUAGCCACGGUAAUACAGAGGGUGCGAGCGUUAAUCGGAUUUACUGGGCGUAAAGCGUGCGUAGGCGGCUAAUUGAGUCGGAUGUGAAAUCCCCGAGCUUAACUUGGGAAUUGCAUUCGAUACUGGUUAGCUAGAGUGUGGGAGAGGAUGGUAGAAUUCCAGGUGUAGCGGUGAAAUGCGUAGAGAUCUGGAGGAAUACCGAUGGCGAAGGCAGCCAUCUGGCCUAACACUGACGCUGAGGUACGAAAGCAUGGGGAGCAAACAGGAUUAGAUACCCCGGUAGUCCCUGUCUCUUAUAC